ACGAACGCUGGCGGCAGGCUUAACACAUGCAAGUCGAACGCUCGGAGCAAUCCGGGAGUGGCGGACGGGUGAGUAACGCGUGGGAACGUGCCCUGAGGUAGGGAAUAACUGCGGGAAACUGCAGCUAAUACCCUAUGAGCCCAUAGCAAUAUGGGGAAAGAUUUAUCGCCUUGGGAGCGGCCCGCGUCGGAUUAGCUAGUUGGUGGGGUAACGGCCUACCAAGGCUUCGAUCCGUAGCUGGUCUGAGAGGACGAUCAGCCACACUGGGACUGAGACACGGCCCAGACUCCUACGGGAGGCAGCAGUGGGGAAUCUUGCGCAAUGGGCGAAAGCCUGACGCAGCCAUGCCGCGUGAACGAUGAAGGCCUUAGGGUUGUAAAGUUCUUUUGCCCGUGACGAUGAUGACGGUAACGGGAGAAUAAGCUCCGGCUAACUUCGUGCCAGCAGCCGCGGUAAUU
rnacentral:rRNA from 1 species